GAUGAACGCUAGCGGCAGGCUUAAUACAUGCAAGUCGAGGGGCAGCAGGUCUGUAGCAAUACAGAUGCUGGCGACCGGCAAACGGGUGCGGAACACGUACAGAACCUUCCUUCGAGCGGGGAAUAGCCCAGAGAAAUUUGGAUUAAUACCCCAUAGCAUAUUGAAUAGGCAUCUAUUUAAUAUUAAAGAUUUAUCACUUGAAGAUGGCUGUGCGGCUGAUUAGGUAGUUGGCGGGGUAACGGCCCACCAAGCCUGCGAUCAGUAACUGGUGUGAGAGCACGACCAGUCACACGGGCACUGAGACACGGGCCCGACUCCUACGGGAGGCAGCAGUAAGGAAUAUUGGUCAAUGGACGAAAGUCUGAACCAGCCAUGCCGCGUGGAGGAUGAAGGUCCUCUGGAUUGUAAACUUCUUUUAUAUGGGACGAAAAAAGGGUUUUCUAACUCGUCUGACGGUACCAUAUGAAUAAGCACCGGCUAACUCCGUGC
rnacentral:rRNA from 1 species